rnacentral:rRNA from 1 species
AUAGCGUAUAUUAAAGUUGUUGUGGUUAAAAAGCUCGUAGUUGAACCUUGGGCCUGGCUGGCCGGUCCGCCUCACCGCGUGUACUGGUCCGGCCGGGUCUUUCCCUCUGUGGAACCCCAUGCCCUUCACUGGGUGUGGCGGGGAAACAGGACUUUUACUUUGAAAAAAUUAGAGUGCUCAAAGCAGGCUUAUGCUCGAAUACAUUAGCAUGGAAUAAUAAAAUAGGACGUGCGGUUCUAUUUUGUUGGUUUCUAGAGUCGCCGUAAUGAUUAAUAGGGAUAGUUGGGGGCAUUAGUAUUCAAUUGUCAGAGGUGAAAUUCUUGGAUUUAUUGAAGACUAACUACUG